rnacentral:rRNA from 1 species
GACGAACGCUGGCGGCGUGCCUAACACAUGCAAGUCGAACGGAACUGUUUUGAAAGAUUUCUUCGGAAUGAAUUUGAUUUAGUUUAGUGGCGGACGGGUGAGUAACGCGUGAGUAACCUGCCUUCAAGAGGGGGAUAACAUUCUGAAAAGAAUGCUAAUACCGCAUGACAUAUCGGAACCACAUGAUUUUGAUAUCAAAGAUUUUAUCGCUUGAAGAUGGACUCGCGUCCGAUUAGUUAGUUGGUGAGGUAACGGCUCACCAAGACCGCGAUCGGUAGCCGGACUGAGAGGUUGAACGGCCACAUUGGGACUGAGACACGGCCCAGACUCCUACGGGAGGCAGCAGUGGGGGAUAUUGCGCAAUGGGGGCAACCCUGACGCAGCAACGCCGCGUGAAGGAUGAAGGUUUUCGGAUUGUAAACUUCUUUUAUUAAGGACGAAACUUGACGGUACUUAAUGAAUAAGCUCCGG